AAAAAUACUAAUAUAGGUUCAUUUACACAUCUAGGUACCUAUUAUUUAAUGACAGAUGAAGGGAAAUCAUUACUGCCUGCAAAGAAACAUCGGAAGGAUAAACUUGUGACUUUAUAUUAGCUAGACAUUCUGGAUGAUAUGCAGGUGAGAUUCUUAUGCAAGUGAUGCUUUAUGCAACCUUAAUUAUUGUUAUUUACUGUUUUUUGAGUCAGGGAAUUUUUUUUUAAAUAUAUGUAUUCCAUAAUUAAACUUAUGAAAGCUAAUGAUUUUAAUGAAACUCCUGAUUUGAUAUAUAGUGCAGUUAAAAUGAUUUAAAAAAAUAUAUAUAUAUCUAAUUUCUCCAACCAACAUGAUCACUUCUGACUUUUAGUGCAUAAAAAUAAUUUUGAAAAUGGUUUGACUCCAUACAAUGGUGGCAUCAGGGCACUCCUGACACCAUAACCACUACAGCUGCUUACAGCAAGGUUAACAAGUGAGCAAGGACUCAUAGGAAUACCCCUUUCUAUUUAAUUAUAGAUAUUGCUUUUUGUCUUAAAGUAGCCUUGGCAAUAGAGCUUACACUUUAAUCACCAUUUUUGGGGCACUAAAAACAUGUUAUUUAAAUGUGCAUGUAGUAUUGGGUUAGUGCAUAAUGACUUUUUUGCUGUUGUUUUACAUCUCCCUAAAUGCUUAAUAUUUUCUUAUUACAGGUUUCAAUAGAUCCUAGAAACUGAUAUUACUCCUGCACUAACAAGAUAUUUUAGCAUUCUUUCCAACAUAUUUCCUUUGGAGAAUCACAC